rnacentral:rRNA from 1 species
UGAGGAAUAUUGGACAAUGGGUGAGAGCCUGAUCCAGCCAUCCCGCGUGAAGGACGACGGCCCUAUGGGUUGUAAACUUCUUUUGUAUAGGGAUAAACCUUUCCACGUGUGGAAAGCUGAAGGUACUAUACGAAUAAGCACCGGCUAACUCCGUG